rnacentral:rRNA from 1 species
GACGAACGCUGGCGGCGUGCUUAACACAUGCAAGUCGAGCGAGGCCCUCCUUCGGGAGGUGUCCUAGCGGCGAACGGGUGAGUAACACGUGGGCAACCUGCCCCCGGCUCUGGGAUAACUCCAAGAAAUUGGGGCUAAUACCGGAUAUGACCGCUGACCGCAUGGUCUGGUGGUGGAAAGAUUUAUCGGCUGGGGAUGGGCCCGCGGCCUAUCAGCUUGUUGGUGGGGUAGUGGCCUACCAAGGCGACGACGGGUAGCCGGCCUGAGAGGGUGACCGGCCACACUGGGACUGGGACACGGCCCAGACUCCUACGGGAGGCAGCAGCGGGGAAUCUUGCGCAAUGGGCGAAAGCCUGACGCAGCAACGCCGCGUGCGGGAUGACGGCCUUCGGGUUGUAAACCGCUUUCAGCAGGGACGAAAAUGACGGUACCUGCAGAAGAAGCUCCGGCUAACUACGUGCCAGCCGCCGCGGUAAUAC